UAGGGAAUAUUGGACAAUGGGGGCAACCCUGAUCCAGCCAUGCCGCGUGAGUGAAGAAGGCCCUCGGGUUGUAAAGCUCUUUUGUCCGGAAAGAAAAGCUUCGGGUUAAUACCCCGGGGUUCUGACGGUACCGGAAGAAUAAGCACCGGCUAACUUCGUGCCAGCAGCCGCGGUAAUACGAAGGGUGCAAGCGUUACCCGGAAUUACUGGGCGUAAAGCGUGCGUAGGUGGUUGUUUAAGUCUGAUGUGAAAGCCCUGGGCUCAACUUGGGAAUGGCAAUGGAAACUGGGCAGCUAGAGUGCGGUAGAGGGUAGUGGAAUUCCCGGUGUAGCAGUGAAAUGCGUAGAGAUCGGGAGGAACAUCUGUGGCGAAGGCGACUGCCUGGACCAGCACUGACACUGAGGCACGAAAGCGUGGGGAGCAAACA
rnacentral:rRNA from 1 species